UCUACACACCUGCUAGUGACAUCAGCAUCAUCUACACCUAUGCUAGUGACAUCAGCAUCAUCUACUCACUUGCUAGUGACCUCAUGCUCCUCCUCACCUACUAGUGACACCAUGCUUCUCUUCACCUGUUAGUAACUUGUCUGCUUUGUGAUAAGCAAAUUUUGCUAUCUUCCAAUUCUGAACACAUCAGAAAUCACCAACCUCUCCUGACAUAUCUUUCCAGUUUGCGGUAGUUUUGCAUGGUCCCCGAUGAACUCAACGUGGGAUGCCUUUCCGAUUUCUUUCACAUCAGGGCACUUAACCUCUACCAGGCCACAGAGAUGUUCUUCAUUUGGGUCCACCACUUUGCCAUCUGCACCAAGGUUGUUCUUCCAGAUGUUUGUGGUGAAAAGACAUGGGGAAAAUAGGACUAACAGGACGUGGAGUAACGAGUAUAAUGGACUACAGUAGGAGUGAACAAGGAGUGAAAUACUUGAUUCGUUUUCUGACUAAAACAGGACUACUGGAUGACUAAAGUAUAUGGGAAAUAACUAAUACCAGCAGAUGGCAGUAAUGCAACGUCAAGGAUGCAAGCUGCCGUUAAAACCCAAAGAAGAAGAAGUUGUUUGUGGUGCAGAGCAGUAAAUGACGAGAUGGUGACUUAUAUUAAAACAUUGGCAACUAUAGACAUUAAUCAAAUAUAGUAUGUUUUAUUUGUAUUGUUUGAUGUGUCAAAUGUUAUACAUUUAAUGUAGCACAUGGUAGCAGUUAUGCUAACUGUCGAGCAGG